AGAGUUUGAUCCUGGCUCAGGACGAACGCUGGCGGCGCGCCUAACACAUGCAAGUCGAACGGAGUUAUUUUGGCAGAAGCCUUCGGGCGGACGCUGAUAUAACUUAGUGGCGAACGGGUGAGUAACACGUGAGCAACCUGCCCUUCAGAGGGGGACAACAGUUGGAAACGACUGCUAAUACCGCAUAAGACCACGGUGUGGCAUCACACAGAGGUCAAAGGAGAAAUCCGCUGAAGGAUGGGCUCGCGUCCAAUUAGCUAGAUGGUGAGGUAACGGCCCACCAUGGCGACGAUUGGUAGCCGGACUGAGAGGUUGAUCGGCCACAUUGGGACUGAGACACGGCCCAGACUCCUACGGGAGGCAGCAGUGGGGAAUAUUGCACAAUGGAGGAAACUCUGAUGCAGCGACGCCGCGUGAGGGAAGAAGGUCUUCGGAUUGUAAACCUCUGUUGUCAGGGACGAUAAUGACGGUACCUGACGAGGAAGCCACGGCUAACUACGUGCCAGCAGCCGCGGUAAAACGUAGGUGGCAAGCGUUGUCCGGAAUUACUGGGUGUAAAGGGAGCGCAGGCGGGAGAGCAAGUUGGAAGUGAAAUCUGUGGGCUCAACUCACAAAUUGCUUUCAAAACUGUUUUUCUUGAGUGGUGUAGAGGUAGGCGGAAUUCCCGGUGUAGCGGUGGAAUGCGUAGAUAUCGGGAGGAACACCAGUGGCGAAGGCGGCCUACUGGGCACUAACUGACGCUGAGGCUCGAAAGCAUGGGUAGCAAACAGGAUUAGAUACCCUGGUAGUCCAUGCCGUAAACGAUGAUUACUAGGUGUGGGAGGAUUGACCCCUUCCGUGCCGCAGUUAACACAAUAAGUAAUCCACCUGGGGAGUACGACCGCAAGGUUGAAACUCAAAGGAAUUGACGGGGGCCCGCACAA
rnacentral:rRNA from 1 species